UAACACGUACGCAACUUACCCAUUACAGGGGAAUAGCCCAGGGAAACUUGGAUUAAUACCCCAUAUUAUAUGAGAUUGGCAUCAGUCUCAUAUCAAAGCUUCGGCGGUAAUGGAUGGGCGUGCGGUUGAUUAGAUAGUUGGCGGGGUAACGGCCCACCAAGUCUACGAUCAAUAGCUGAUGUGAGAGCAUGAUCAGCCACACGGGCACUGAGACACGGCCCAAACUCC
rnacentral:rRNA from 1 species